ACCCUCUAUAUCUCCCUAUAUAAAGGCAUCGGGAGCUCUCUCUCUUCCUCAGCCAGGAUCGCCCACAUCCUUGCGGUGGUGUAGCUUCUGCGAAGUCGGCCUCCGCUGCUCACCGCUGCCUCUCCAUCUUUCUCAGGGUGAGCGAUCGCAAGGAUGAGCCGGGACAACCGCAGGAGCCAGACUCUGGACCUGAAGCUGAACCUUUCGCUGAUGCCGGCCAGGGGGGACGCGUCGAGAAGGAUGGGCGUCGCCGAUGACGCCUCCCCGGCGAGCUCAUGUUUGACGACGGCGUCGUCGUCGUCGGAGGCCGAGCUGGGGAUGAUGACCCCGGUGAGCACAGAGGUGGCGACGCCCAUGGUGCUCGCCGGCUGCCAGCGGUGCCUCAUGUACGUCAUGCUCUCUGCGGACGACCUCAAGUGUCCCAAGUGCUGGAGCACCGCCCUCAACUUCUUCCACAACACCACCACCAAGAACAAGAAGAACAGCAGCAAGAAGAGCAGGAUGUGCUAAACCUCCCUGCAAAACACCUUCUUCGUGAUUCAUUCCUUCUUCGGUUGUCUCUUUCAGUACCAGUCAUCUCUUGUCUUUAAUUACGUUAGCUGUGAUUCAAGGAAUGAGCACUUGGCUUCAUCUUAUAA